GGAUCGUACAUACUACAUGGAUAACUGUAGUAAUUCUAGAGCUAAUACAUGCCACUAUGCCCUGACCCGCGAGGGAACGGGUGGAUUUAUUAGAACAGAACCAACCGGGGGCGGCUUCGGUCGUCCCUGUUGCAUUCUGUGAUGACUCUGGAUAACUUCACUGAUAGCAGUCGGCCUUGUGUCGGCGACGGAUCUUUCAAAUGUCUGCCCUAUCAAUUUUCGAUGGUGGGUGACCUGCCUACCAUGGUGCUAACGGGUAACGGGGAAUCAGGGUUCGAUUCCGGAGAGGGAGCCUGAGAAACGGCUACCACUUCCAAGGAAGGCAGCAGGCACGCAAAAAACCCAAUCCCGGCACGGGGAGGUAGUGACGAAAAAUACGGAUACGGGACUCACUAGAGGCUCCGUAAUUCGAAUGAGUACAAUUUUAAAUCCUUUAACGAGGAUCAACUGGAGGGCAAGUCUGGUGCCAGCAGCCGCGGUAACUCCAGCUCCAGAAGGGUAAAUUAAGGUUGUUGCAGCCAAAAGCUCGUGGUUGGACCUGAGUCUCAUGGCUACGUGUAGUCGCUCGUGGGUCUGGCCUGGUUACUGACGGAUUGAGCUUGCGAGUCGGUCCCGUGGUUGUGCCUCCCUUCUGCCGUGUCUGUUUACAGGUGUCAGCGUGACUGGUGGGCUUGCCUGCUAGUCUGUUGGCAUGCUUCUUGGUGCCUUUAAUCAGGUGUCGGAGCCGAACAGCAAGUCUGCUUUCAACAAAUUUGAGUGCUCAAAGCAGGCCUUUGUGCCUGAAAAUUCUUGCUUGGAUUAGUGAAAUAGAACUUCGGUUCUAUUUUGUUGGUUUUCGGAUCCGAAGUAAUGGUUGAGAGGGACAGACGGAGGCAUUUGUAUGGUGGUGUUAGAGUUGAAAUUCUUGGAUCGCCACCAGACAAACUACAGAGAAAGCAUUUGUCAAGAAUGUUUUCUUUGACCUCGAGCGAAAGUCAGGGGUUCGAAGACGAUCAGAUGCCGUCCUAGUUCUGGCCGUAAAUGAUGCCAACUUAUGAUUCUGAGGGUUCUUUUUGUACCCACCGGCAGUCGUCGGGAAACCCUUAAGUCUGUGGGCUCCGGAAGAAGUAGGGUCGCGAGGCCGAAAGUCGAAAAAAUUGACGGAGGAGAAACACCAAGAAAGAGGGUUGCGGCUGAAUACUGGCACGAGUCCGAUAACGAACGGGUACCGUGAGGGAAUGUUGAAAAGUACUUUGAGGAGGUAGUAAACAGUGCGCGAAACCGUUCAGAGAUAAACAAGUGGAAUUGAACUGCAAGCUCUGAGGAUUCAGCUCGUGAGUAUGGCAUGAGCUUGGUCAUAUUGGUUAUGUGCUCGGGUCUGCUUAGCUGCAGGUCUCCGCUUCGAUGGGGAUGCG
rnacentral:rRNA from 1 species